rnacentral:rRNA from 1 species
GGCUCUCUGUUUACAUAAAUAUAGGGAGUCGAGCCUGCCCAGUGAAUUUUUAAACGGCCGCGGUACUCUGACCGUGCAAAGGUAGCAUAAUCAUUUGCCUUAUAAUUGAAGGCUAGUAUGAAUGGUUUGACGAGAGCAACACUGUCUCCUUUUUAUUUUCAAGAAUUUAACUUUUAGGUGAAGAGGCCUAAAUUUUAUUGAAGGACAAGAAGACCCUAUCGAGCUUAAAAGACAUUAUAGAAGUUUAUAUAUUUCUAAAUAAAUUUUCUAUUGAGCUUUUUAGUUGGGGCGACUAAGGAACAAAAAAAGCUUCUUGCUAAUAAUAGACAGUCAUGUUUAGAUCCGAUAAUAAUCGAUCAAAGAAAUUAGUUACCGUAGGGAUAACAGCAUAAUCUCUCUUGAGAGACCUAAUCGAAAGAGGGGGUUGUGACCUCGAUGUUGGACUAGAAUAUCCUAAAGAUGCAGAAGUCUUUGAAAGGUCGGUCUGUUCGACCGUUAAAAUUCU